CAUUUCCUUUAUCAAGUGUUAAGUAUAUGUAUGUGUGUAUUGAAGUAGUUGGACUGAUUUUUGACUCAUUUUUUCAGAUAUUUUGUUCAUGUAAUGAGAACUCAUCUUAUUCUCUCUUCUCUCUAGAACCUUCUCAUAAAUCUGGGUUUACAUUCAUGGUAUUUGAGAGCUUUCAGCUUCAUUCCAUGUUUUCAUGGUAUCAAAGCCUCGAGAUUCUGAGAGAUCUGCUUAUCAUAUUUUGAGCGGUGGUACCCUAGGUCAUUUUUUGCCAAUUAUUUCUGCGUGAUUUUGGUAUUUGCUGCGUGUAUUUUGUGGAUUUUUGUUUGUGGAGCUUCGAACAUGGCUGGUUUUCCCUUCGAUUGAAUUUUUUGUGGAUUGCAUUUAUUUCGGCAAUGUUGAACAAGGCUCACUUCUUCGAGUUUUGAAGAAGACCGGUAACCUCUCUCCUUGCAGAAUUAGGGUUUUUUUGUGUCUUAGUGGUCAAUUGAUUACGAGCAAUGGCUUCGACUUGCCACAAUUCUCUGUCUACUAGUGUCAGUACUAUUCCCCACACUCAUCCGUUGUAUCUUCACCCUUCCGACUAUCCCCGUAUGGUGCUUGUCACCACGCCGUUUAAUGGAACUGGUUAUGGUAGCUGGAGAAGGGGAAUGUUGAUUUCUCUCUCUGCUAAGAGGAAAUUAGGUUUUAUUGAUGGAAAGGUAGUCAAGCCCCUACCUACUGAUCCAUUUAUGAUGCCUGGGUUAUGUGUAACGAUAUGGUUAUUGCGUGGAUAUUGAAUAGCUUAGAUAAAGAGAUAGCUGAAACUGUGAUUCAUACAGAGACUGCUGGUGAUAUUUGGAAGGAAAUAGAAAAGAGAUAUGGUCAGGCUAGUGGCACGAAAGUGUUUCAAAUAAGAAAAGAGAUUUCUUCUAUAACUCAAGGAUCUUCUAGUAUAGCCUCAUAUUUUAAUAGAAUUAAAAGACUGUGGAAUGAAUUGAACAUUUCUAUUGCUUACCCUCCUUGCACUUGUGCAUGUAAGGAUCAAUGCGUGAAACUAGAACAAGAUCAAAGGGUUCACCAGUUUUUAGCUGGUUUAAAUGAGUCUUAUGCUGGAAUCAGGAGAAACAUAUUGAUGAUACUCCAUGCUCAUACGUGAUGAGCAACAGUCUGAACUUUAGGUCUCUAUUCCUGCAUUUGCUUCUGAGUCCACUUCCUUUGUUGCUAGUGUGCAAAGAUUUCCUCCUGGGGUUGCAGAUAUCCUCCUAAAUACCCUGCUGGUGGAGGGGGACAAAGAUACCUCAACAGGGUAAAUUUUGACUCCACCACCUGAUCUAAUUCUAAUAAUAAUGUCUCUUCUUCCAUAUUUUGCAAAUAUUGCAAGAAACCAGAACACCUCAUUGGAAAUUAUCGCAAGCUUCAUGGUUAUAAUGAAAAUCUGAAAAUAAUAAGAGCAAAUAUGGGGCUGGUAUGGCAAAUUGUGCACAGAAUGCAAUGUCUGCAGUGUCAUCCACUACAUCUUCUUCUGGGGCUAUUAAUUUCGAAGCUUCUCUCCAUGGUUCAGUAAAGAACAACAUGACCACAUCCUCUCCAUUCUUCAGCAAAAUAACAUACAAGAUUCUGGAUUGUGUGCUUCUACAAACUUUUCAGUGUGACUAGUCUGUCUGCCUAUAAUAUUUGUUGUUUUUUUGCAUGUCAUCUCUAUCAGAUGUAUGGCAAUCCCUGGAUUUUAGAUUUUUGGAGCUACAAAUCAUAUGACACCUCAUAGAAACCUCCUUAUAGAUGUAAAACCUCUUACCACUCCAUAUCUUAUAUCUUUACCAGAUGGAUAUAAAGUAAAAGUGACCUGUACAAGUUCUUUACCUUUAUACACUAAUAUGAUAUUACAUAAUGUUCUUUUGGUUCCUAGUUUUCAAUAUAACCUCAUUUCCCUGCACCAAUUACUUUUUUAAUUUGAUUGUGUUGCUCAUUUCAGUGUUACAUCAUGUGUUUUGCAGGACCAUUCUCUGAAGAGGCCACUGGAAGUUGGUAAGCUCUCCAAUGGACUAUACAUACUUUAGCUGAAUAGUUCCACUUAACAAGACAUUACUGAUGGUGCUCCUGAUGUUUCCUCCGCAGUUUCUUCUUCUGUUCCUUUUACUGCUGAUCCUGUUUCCACUCCCAAUGUAAAGUUUUUAGAACAUCCUUUACUGCAUGAUGAUAUUUUUAGUAAUGAAUGUACUGUAAAUAUUUUCUCUUUAAAUAAAACAGAGUUCAGUUUUGAUAAAUCUGUUCCACUUAUUGCUUCUGUUUCCAUUGAUAAUGUUCUUUUACCUACUUCUUUCCCAAAUACUGAUAUAACUACCUCAAACAUCUUUUGGCAUCAAUGUCAUAACCCGAACCGAGGCCCUGGCCGUGACGAGCAUCCCGAACUAUGAAGGCCCGGACACCCUUCUAACUUGAAAUCAUAUACACCAUUCAUACAUAAAUAAGGAAAGACGAAAAUUAUAGCAAGACGGAAUCAUGGUCGUAAAUCUGAUAUAAAUUUAGUAUUGAAGAAUGAAAUCCAAAACUAACUAGCAACAUUUGCAAACCGUCUACGAAAUCUCUACUACAUACUCUCUAAUACAGUCGGAAUGCUGGGACAAGGCCCCCAGUAGACCAAAACCGUAACCACUAAUAAUUGUCUAAAAAUAAAUAGGCCUUCCGGAAUAUAGAAGGCUCACCAACUGGAAACUGCAACUCUGUCUGAUGAAUUCUACUGCUUAUCUAGACCCCUAGACUGAGCCUCAGAACCUGAGAGGUAGGGGGGUCAAUACAAUGUACUGGUAUGCAAAGUAAUCCAAAAUAAAACUUUUAUAUAAGUAAAAUAGUGGAGAGCGAUAUGUUAAAACAUCCUGUAUAAAGAUUUCUCAAAACAUAUGGGCACUUUCUGAAAAUCACAAAUCAUUCUUGUCAAUGCAAUGUAUGAUCUUUGUAUUACUUUUGAGCUAGGUGGCACUCCCCUACAACUCUGAUAUUCUACGGGCUAUAUGGAAUCUGCCAUUGACUCAAUGGGGAAGCCCCCAACCCAAGUAUGCCGCAAGGGUUGGAGUCUCUAAUUCUGAUACGCCACACAACACUAGGCCAGCGUAAUAUAAUAUACCCGAAUCGGCAAAUCACUAUUUUGGGCAAUGAGUUAUCUGAAAUCGUGUCCUCUUCAGGGAACCACCUAACAUUUAUUUAUGCCCUAUUUUAGCCUUUUCUGAACAUGCAUCAUUCUAAAAUUCUAAAACAUGAAAGUCUGAUUUUUGUAUCAGUUUGUGUCUGUUAUGGAAUUAUCGGAGUUGGUAUCGUCAUACCUAGACUUGCAAGUUGAAAUUGUAAUCCAUAAUGCUUUAAGCAUAAUUCUUUCAUUAAAACUCAAUUCAAACCACCCAGCUUUGCAAAUAGUAUAAGAGAUUUCAUGUUCCGAAGCAUAAGUCAAAACUAUGCAAGAAUCAUUCAAACAUAUGGUGGUCAUGUGCUUUUGGCAAAAAUCAUGCACUCUUUCAUUAUAUGCAUAUUUUUAACAUUUAUCAACACAUCUACCCUCUCUUUUGAAAUCCAAAUCUUAAUCCAAAUAAUAACACAAUUCAAGACAUUCUAAACCAUGCUUUUCAAGGAUGCAUUCAAAACAAUCUAUAGCAUAUGAUAAGUAAAGGAAAAUCAAACAAGAGAGGGAUUUUUUACAUAAGUCAUGCUCUCAAUUAAAUCAUCAAACUUAAAACACAAGAAUACAUAUAUAUACAAUUUCAAAUCGAUGUAAGGGAAGGUCAAAAGACCAAAACAAUACCAUCAAGAUUUCCAAAACAUGAAUGUAUUCAUAAAUAUGAAAACCUUUUCUUAAAAUCAUGAUUUCUAUGCCCAUGAAAUUUUAGAAAAACCCCGCAUACCUUGAUUAUGAAGAAUAAGGGAUGCUCCUUGAAGCCUACGGUUUGGGUAUUUCAAAACUCUGAUAAAUUUCGAAAACUUACGGUUGAAUCUUGAGUUUCUUGGAGGAGAAGUAUAUGAACUAGUGUUUUGUUCUGAAGGAAAUCUUGAGAAUGUCGAAUAUUAUGCUUGUAGAGGUCUUAAUCUCCUGUUUGGACGUUUUAAGAGACUUGGAAAAAGUCCAAACUACCCUUGUUAACUUCUGAACGAAACUGGAAAAAUAUAAACUGGGAACCCAAUCUUAUGGGCCACCGCAACGCGCCACUAUCGCGGUGGCUCACUGGAAAUUGAUGAAUCGGAAUUUGGCCCACUCCGUGAUGUGCCACCAUAGCGGAGUCUCACUAGAAAUUGACCAUCAUCAUUUACACCCUCUACGUGAUGCGCCAAAGACAGGAAUGACGGUGUUUUACAACUAGGACUUAAAUUAACCAUAACUCCUUCACCAAGUGUCCGUUUUGGACGAUCUUAUGUCAGUAGAAAACUUAUUCGAUCACCUACAUGAUGAAAAGUUGAAAUCUAAGGAAUUCCACAGAGAAAUAAGUAUAAAUCAUUCUAGAAGCCAAUGCUUGAUACUUUAGGGACAAAAAUUUAGCUAGGAAAAACUUCGGGGCAUUACAAUAUCCCCCUUUGGAACAUUCGUCCCCGAAUGUUGACGCGGGACAUAGAUAAGCAUAAUUUCAAGGAUACUAAGGCAUAGAAAGAAUAAGGCAAGGAUUGUACCUUCCAUUGGAUCAAAAAGGUUUGGGUAUCUAGCUCUCAUGUCAACUUUUGAUUCCCAAGUUGCUUCUUCAAUUUUUUGGUUUCUCCACAACACUUUAACUGAGGCUGUCUCUUUGUUCCUAAAUCUUCGAACUUGGCGAUCCAAAAUUUCUACAGGUUUUUCUUCAUAGGAUAAGGAAUCUGUCACUUUGAUUUCUUUGACAGGCAACACUAAAGAAUGGUCUCUGAUGCACUUCUUCAACAUAGAUAUAUGAAAUACCGGAUGGACAGAACCCAAACUAGCAGGCAAAUCUAACUCAUAGGCAACUGCACCUACCCCUCUCAAAAUCUGAUAUGGUCCUAUAUAAUGAGGACUCAACUUACCUUUCUUCCCAAACCGCAUGACUCCCUUCAUAGGAGAAACUUUUAGAAACACCCAAUCUCCAACCUCAAACUUUAGAUCUCUUCUCCUAACAUCGGCGUAGGAUUUUUGAUGACUCUGAGCUGUCUUAAGUCGUUCUCUAAUGACUUUCACAUGCUCCAUUGCCUGAUGAACAAGAUCAAGCCCAAAUAUCUGCAUCUCACCUACUUCAUACCAUCCUAUCAGAGACCUACAUCUUUUCUCAUACAAUGCCUCAAAUGGUGCCAUCUUAAUACUCGAAUGGAAACUGUUAUUAUAUGCGAAAUCUAUCAAUGGAAAGUGCUCUACCCAACUACCUUUAAAAUCAAUCAUGCAGACCCUCAACAUAUCCUCAAGGGUUUGGAUGAUGCACUCAACUUGCCCGUCUGUCUGAGGGUGGAAAGUCGUGCUCAAAUUCACUUGGGUACCUAAACCCUUUUGAAACGAUCUCCAAAACUGAGAAGAAAACUGUGUACAUCGGUCAGAUAUGAUGGAUACAGGUGCCCCAUGCAAAUGAACUAUUUCUGCAAUGAAUAGCUUGGCAUAAUCCUCUCUCGAAUAAUUAGUCCUGGCAGGUAGAAAGUUAGCUGACUUGGUCAACCUAUCUACAAUUACCCAAAUGGAAUCAUACUGGUUUCGGGACCUCGGAAGUCCCGUAAUAAAGUCCAUAUUAAUCAUCUCCCACUUCCACAAAGGCAAAGCUAUCUCUUGAGAAGAAACACCUGGCCUCAUAUGUUCCACUUUAACUUGUUGACAAUUCAAAUACUUGGCAACAUAGUUAGCCACAUCACGCUUCAUAUUAGUCCACAAAUAAAUGGUUUUCAAAUCACGAUAUAUCUUAGUAGAGCCAGGGUGAACAACAUACCUCAAUGUGUGAGCUUCGUCAAGGAUUCUCUUCCUCAGACCAUCUACAUAUGGCACACACAACCUGCCCUGGUGUCUCAAAAUACCAUUACCACCAACUUUAAAUGAUAUUACCAUUUGUUGACCCACAUCUUUCUUGAUCUGCAUCAAGAUGGGAUCUUCAACCUGCUUCUCUUUAACUUCUGCACAAAGGGAAGAUUUAGCUGUCUCAUGAACAACUACUCCUCCAUCCUCAGAAUCCAAAAGUCGCACUCUUAGAAUUGCAAGUCGGUGGAUAUCCUUCACCAUAUCCCUUUAUUGUUUCCCUACAUGAGAAAGACUGUCCAUAGAUAACCUGCUAAGGGCGUCGGCUACCACAUUCGCCUUGCUCUGAUAAUAGUACAGGCUCAUGUCAUAGUCCUUUAAAAGUUCCAACCAUUGCAUCUGCCUGAGAUUCAAUUCUUUUUGCAAGAAAACAUACUGUAAAAUCUUGUGGUUAGUAAAUAUAACAAUAUGUACCCCAUACAAAUAGUGUCGCCAGAUCUUAAGUGCAAAAACCACAGCUGUUAACUCCAAGUCAUGAGUAGGGUAGUUCCGCUCAUGCACCUUCAACUGCCUAGAUACAUAAGCCAUUACCUUAUCGUGUUGCAUAAGAACACACCCAAGUCUAACUCGAGAUGCAUCACAAUAUACAACAAAACCUUCUGUACCCUCCGAAAGAGUUAAAAUAGGAGCAGUAGUCAACUUAUCUUUCAACUUCUCAAAACUAUUCUCAUAAGAGUCAGACCAUAAAAACUUCAUCUUUUUUUAAGUCAACUUAGUAAGUGGUGCAGCUAUGGAUGAAAAACUCUUUAUAAACCUUCUGUAAUAACCCGCCAAACCCAAGAAGCUCUGAAUAUCGGUUGGAGUCGUGGGUCUGGACCAUUUCCUCACUGCCUCAACCUUUUGGGGAUCAACCUUAAUCCCCUCACUAGACACAAUGUACCCCAAGAAAGAAAUAGUAUUUAACUAGAAUUCACACUUAGAGAACUUUGCAUACAACCUGUGAUCUUUGAGAGUCUGGAGGAUAAUUCGGAGGUGAUUGGCAUGGUCCUCCUCACUUUUGGAAUAAAUCAAGAUAUCAUCAAUAAAAACUAUGACAAACAAGUCUAGAAACUAGCAGAAGACCCUAUUCAUUAGGUCCAUGAAGGCUGCAGAGGCGUUAGUCAACCCAAAGGACAUGACUAGCAAUUCAUAAUGACCAUAUCUAGUUUGGAAAGCUGUCUUGUGAAUGUCUGACUCCCUAAAUUUCAAUUGAUGAUAUCCUGAUCAAAGGUCUAUUUUAGAAAAGUACUUGGCACCCUGAAGUUGGUCAAACAAAUCAUCAAUCCUAGGAAGUGGAUACUUAUUUUUGAUAGUGACCUUGUUUAACUGGUGAUAAUCUAUGCACAUACGCAGGGAACCAUCUUUCUUUCGCACGAAAAGUAUAGGUGCACCCCAGGGGAAAACACUAGGAUGGAUAAAACCUUUAUCUAGGAGGUCUGCUAGCUGCUCUUUCAACUCUUUCAACUCUGCUGGAUCCAUUCUAUAUGGCGAAAUAGAGAUGGGAUGGGUGUCUAGCAACACAUCUAUGCCAAAAUCUAUCUCCCUAUCAGGUGGUAUUCCUGGGAGUUCAUCUGGAAAGACUUUUGGGAAUUCAUUUACUACAGGGACAGACUGAAGAGGAAGACUUUCGGUGUUAGAAUCUUUAACCUAAAUAAAAUGGUACAAGAAACCUUUGGAAAUGAGUUUACGGGCCCUGAGAUAAGAUAUGAAGUGCCCUCUAGGAGCUAAAGAAUACCCUUCCCAUUUUAUUAUUGGCUCAUUCAGAAAAUAAAAAGUAACCUUUAGGGUUCUACAAUCUAGUGUGGCAUAACACGAAUGGAGCUAGUCCAUCCCUAGGAUAGCAUUAAAAUCAACCAUAUCAAGCUCUAUGAGAUCGGCCACAGUAUCCCGGCUAAGAAUAGACACAACACAAUUUUUAUUUAUCUUCUUAGCCAUAACAAAAUCACCCUCCAGAGUGGAAACAGCGAAAGGGUCAGUAAUGACUUCGGGCUCAAACCUAAAACCAACAGCCACAUAUGGGUCACAUAAGACAAGGUAGACCCAGGAUUAAGUAACACCUAAACAUCAUGGGAAAAGAUUCGUAACAUACCGGUGACAACAUCAGGUGAGACCUCUGCCUCCUAGCGGUUAGUCAAAGCGGACAACCGGUUGCGACCGCUUUCGGUAGAUAAAGUAGCGCCCUUUUGAGGCGGUGGUGGUGCGGAAGAAUUUUCCUGAGAUUUUGCACCACCAACAUUCCUUCUAGCAGAUAGACAAUCCCUCUGUAAGUGACUCGGCUAACCACAUGAAUAACAUACAAAUGCGCCCCACUGACACCUUCUUGGACGAUUCCUACCACAAGUCUCACACCGGGGAAAAGUAUGAUACGGCGGAGCCACACUACCCUGUGACUGAGUAUCCUGAGCUCUAGAUCCCUGAUUAGUCUGGAAACUCUGAGAUCUUCUAUCAACUGGAGGUCUGGACGCUGGGGCGCUGCCUGCAGAUUGUGCAUUACCCCAACUCUUCUUCUUCUGCCAUUUAUUACCCAACUUACCACUUUGCGGCUGACUGUGAUGUUGAUUUGCUGUUCUGGCUCUUUGUGCCUGCCUGUCUUUCUCUCUAGACUCAGCAAUUUUCUUUUCUUUUCUUCUACUUGUUGCAUAUGGACUGACAGCCUAGCAAAGUCUAUAUCCCUAUUUAGCAUCGCCCCUUGACAUUUAAGCACUAGAUCAUCUAAAAGGCCGGAUGUAAACUUCCUCAUUCAGGCUCUCAUAUUGCUAGUCAUCUCUGGUGCUUAACGGGCUAAUUGGUUAAACUUCAAAGUGUACUCCUGGACAUUCAUAUUUUCCUGCUUCAGAUUCAUAAACUCCUCAGCUUUGGCCUCCCUCAACUCUAGAGAAAAGAAUCGAUUAAGGAAGGCUUCCACAAAUUCACCCCAAACUGUGGGCUCAGCACUCUCUUCCUUCGCAUCCUUCCACUCGUUAUACCACUGAUUUGCCAUAUCCUUGAGCUGAUAAGUUGCCAACUCCAGCCCUUCUAUUUCCUCCACAUGCAUCACCUUAAAGAUCUUCUCCAUCUCAUCCACAAACUCCUGUGGAUCUUCUUCUGCCUUGGUGCCAGUAAACUUGGGUGGGUUCAUUCUCAUGAACUGACCCACCCUAGUAGCCUCAGAUGUAACAGAAUUAAAAAUAUCUCUCUGAGAAGUCGGGGGACGGUUAACAUUGGUCUGUGGAGUCUGAGGUGGACUGGUCGGUACUGGAGGUACUCUCGGAGUAUGAACAGGUUCUGGGGUGAGAGCUCUAUUACGGGUCCACAUCCUGUGAGUGGGACAGACCUCAUCUGUCUGUGCAUUCUGAUCGAUAGUGCGACGAGGAGGCAUGAUCGAUUUUUUUCUGGAUAGCAAGAGAGCAUUGAUUAGAGGCAGAUUAGACUCCAAAGCACAUACUAGAUCAUAAAGAGGGGAAACAUUCCUAAACGCCUAGUAGCCCCCUGCUUAUAAGUGUGGUGCACUACACACCCAUAAAUAAGACUCUACCCAACGUGAUUUCGCAGACACCCUGGGAUCAUGAACCAUGCUCUGAUACCAAGUUUGUCACGACCCAAAUCGAGGUCCUGGCCGUGAUGAGCAUCCCGAACCAUGAAGGCCCGGACACCCUUCUAACUUGAAAUCAUAUACACCAUUCAUACAUAAAUAAGAAAACACAAAAAUUAUAGCAAGACAGAAUCAUGGUCAUAAAUCUGAUAUGAAUUUAGCAUUGAAGAACGAAAUACAAAACUAACUAGCAACAUCUAAAAAUCGUCUAUGAAAUCUCUACUACAUACUCUCUAACAUAGUCUAAAUGCUGGGACAAGGCCCCAAUAGACCAAAACCGUAACCACUAAUAAUUGUCUGAAAAUAAACAGGCCUUCCAAAAUAUAGGAGGCUCACCAACUGGACACUGCAACUUUGUCUGAUGAAUUCUACUGCUUAUCUGAACCCCUAAACUGAGCCUCAUAACCUAAGAGGUAGGGAGAGGGGGUUCAAUACAAUGUAUUGGUAUGCAAAGUGAUCCAAAAUAAAACUUUUAUAUAAGUAAAAUAGUAGAGAGCGAUAUGUUAAAACAUCCUGCAUAAACAGUUCUCAAAACACAUGGGCCCUUUCUGAAAAUCAUAAAUCAUUCUUAUCAAUGCAAUGUCUGAUCUUUGUAUUACUUCUGAGCUAGGUGGCACUCCCCUACAACUCUGAUAUUCCACGGGCUAUAUGGAAUCCUCUAUUGAAUCGGCGGGAAAGCCCCCAACCCAAGUAUACUGCAAGGGUUAGAGUCUCUGAUUCUGAUACACCACACGGCACUAGGCCAGCGUAAUAUAAUAUACCCGAAUCGGCAAAUCACAAUUUUGGAAAAUGAGUUAUCUGAACUCGAUCCCUCUUCAGAGAACCACCUAACCUCUCUUUAUGCCCUAUUUUAGCAUUUUUUGAACAUACAUUAUUCUGAAAUUCUAAAACAUGAAAGUCUAAUUUUUGUAUCAGUCUGUAUCUGUUAUGGCAUUGUCUGAGUUGAUAUCGUCAUACCAAGACUUGCAAGUCAAAAUUCUAAGCCAUAAUGCUUUAAGCAUAAUUCUUUCAUUAAAACUCAAUUUAGACCACCCAGCUUUGCAAAUAGUAUAAGAGAUUUCAUGUUCCGAAGCAUAAGUCAAAACUAUGCAAGAAUCCUUCAAACAUAUGGUGGUCAUGUGCUUUUGCAAAAUAUCAUGCACUCUUUCAUUAUAUGUAUAUUUUUAACAUUUAUCAACACAUCUACCCUCUCUUUUGAAAUCCAAAUCUUAAUCCAAAUCAUAACACAAUUCAAGACAUUCUAAACCAUGUUUUUCAAGGAUGUAUUCAAAACAAUCUAUAGCAUAUGAUAAGUAAAGGAAAAUCAAAUAAGAGAGGGAUUUUUACAUAAGUAAUGCUCUCAAUUAAAUUAUCAACCUUAAAACACAAGAUUUCUAAAACAUGAAUGUAUUCAUAAAUCUGAAAACCCCUUUCUUAAAACCAUGAUUUCUAUACCCAUGAGAUUUUAGGAAAACCCCGCGUACCUCGAUUAUGAAGAAUAAGGGCUUCUCCUUGAAGCCUAUGGUUUGGGGAUUCCAAAACUCUAAUAAAUUUCGAAAACCUACGGUUGAAUCUUGAGUUUCUUAGAGGAGAAGUAUAUGAACUAGGGUUUUUGUAUUUGAAGAAAAUCUUGAGAAUGACGAAUAUUAUGCUUUUAGAGGUCUUAAUCUCCUAUUUGGACCUUUUAAGAGACCUGGAAAAAGUCCAAACUACCCUUGUUAACUUCUGAACAAAACUGGAAAAAUUUAAACUGGGAAUCUGAUCUUAUGGGCCACCGCAACGCGCCACUAUCGCAGUGGCUCACUGAAAAUUGACGAAUGGGAAUUUGGCCCACUCCGUGAUGUGCCACCAUUGCGAAGUCUCACUGAAAAUUGACCAUCUUCAUUUACACCCGCUCCGCGAUGCGCCAAAGAUAGGAAUUAUGGUGUUUUACAACUAGGACUUAAAUUAACCAUAACUCCUUCACCGAGUGUCUGUUUUGGACGAAUCUUAUGUCGGCGGAAAACUUAUUUGAUCACCUAAGUAAUGAAAAGUUGAAAUCUAAGGAAUUCCACAUGAAAAUAAGUAUAAAUCAUUCUAGAAGUCAAUGCUUGAUACUUUAGGGACAAAAAAUUAGCUAGGAAAAACUUCGGGGUGUUACAAUCAAAGAUUGGGACAUAUACCUUUUUCCAAAAUAAAAUCCAUAAGAUACUUAAAGUCUUUGCUACCACCCAAACAAACUUUCACCUGCGGUAUUUGUCUUAUGGCAAGGCAACAAAGGCUGCCUUUGGGGUCCUUACCACACUCAAACAUAUAAUGGAUAUAGGUAUUUUUUAACCAUUAUUGAUGACUAUACCAGAUGUACUUGGACUCAUUUUUUAUCUACCAAGUCCAAUGCCUUUACCUUAAUCAAAUCUUUCUUUUUUUAUGUGCUGAAUCAGUUUCAUAUUUCCAUUCAAAAUAUUAGAUCUGAUAAUGCUUUUGAGUUGGGGUCUAGUUUUGAGGAAAUUAAAUUCUUUUUUGAUCAUGGUAUAUUUCAUCAAACCUCUUGUUCUCAGACACCACAACAAAAUGGUGUUGUAGAAAGAAAACACAGACAUUUACUUGAAACUUCUAGGGCCCUAAUUUUUCAAUCCAAACAUCCUCUUAAAUAUUGGGGUGAAUGUAUUUUGGCUGCCACUUAUCUAAUAAAUAGAUUUCCUUCCCCUUUAUUGCACAAUAAAACUCCUUUUGAACUUUUACACGGAUCUGUUCCCUUUUAUGGUCAUCUUAGAUGCUUUGGCUGCUUGUGUUAUGCUGCAGUUCCCAUUUCUCAAAGGGACAAAUUAUCCUCUAGAUCAAUUCCUUCAGUGUUUCUUAGAUAUCCUACUGGAAAAAAAGCUACAAACUUCUUUCCUUAUCAUCUCAUAAAUUUUUUUUCCAAAGAUGUUAUUUUCAAUGAAUACAUUUUUCCUUAUGCAUCUCUUCCUUCCUCUACUCUAUUUCCUUCCACUUCUGUUCUUGUAGUUGCAAAUUAUUCUACGCCUAUGUCUUCAUCUUCUCCUUCUCCAACUAUACUUUGUUGAUCUACUAGGUCCAUCACCACACCUUCCUACCUCAAUGAUUAUGUAUGCUCCUUUAUUUCUACCUCCAAUAUGGCAUCCACUCCUGUUGAGAUUGCUAUGAAUGAACCUCAAUCUUAUAGACAGGUUGCUGUCCAUCCUGAGUGACAGGCUGUAAUGUUAAAAGAGUUUCAAGCUUUGGAGUCUAAUAGGACUUGAGAUAUUGUGCCCCUGUCACCCGGUAAGAGGGCCAUUUCUUCUAAAUAGGUAUAUGAGAUUAAACAGCAAGAUGAUGGCUCCAUUGAAUGCUAUAAAGCUCGUUUGUUCAUAGGGGGUACCCAACAAAAAGGUGUCGAUUAUUUUGAAACCUUUUCUCCGGUUGUUAAAAUGACCACGAUAAAAAUGUUUGUUGGUUGUUGCUGUUAAGAAACAUUGGAAAAUUUUCCAACUUGAUGUGAAUAAUGUUUUCUUACAUGGGGAUCUAGAUGAAAAGGUUUAUAUGAAAAUCCCACAAGGCUUAGAAGUGCCUGACUCUGUCUCUGGCCAUUUGGUGUGUAAGUUACGUAAAUCUUUGUAUGGACUCAAACAAGCCUCUAGACAAUGGUAUGCGAAAUUUUCUUCAGCUUUGUUGUCCCGUGGUUAUGUUUUCAGUGUCAAUAAUUACUCUAUUUUUAAGAAAGUUUCUGGUGCUUUCAUUGCUAUUAUGGUUGUUUAUGUUGAUGACAUUUUGUUAGUUGGGGAUGAUGUUGUUAAGCUUAAUUCCCUUAAAUUGUUUCUUGAUGAAAGUUUUAAGAGGACUUGGGUGAGGCCCAUUAUUUUCUGGGAUUGGAGAUACUUCGCAAACCUACUGGACUGUUGGUUACUCAAUGGAAAUUUGUUUCUGAUUUACUUUCAGAAUUUCAUUGUUCUACUGUUACACCUGUUGUUAUCCCCUUGGAGUUGUAUGGUAAACUUUCUGCUGAUUCUGGUGUCCCUUGUUCUGACCCAAGUUAAUAUAGAAAGUUUGUGGGCAAGUUGAAUUUUCUACAACACACUCGUCCUGACAUAUCUUUUGAGGUUCAACACCUUAGUCAAUUUAUGCAUUGUCCUCGCUUACUGUAUUUUGAGGCUGGUUUACAUGUUCUUCAAUAUAUGGCUGGUGCUCCUGGAUUGGGUAUUUUUUUUAAUGAUUCUCCAGACUUCUCUCUCAUUGGUUACUGUGAUUCGGACUGGGUUGGUUGUUCCCAAACCAGACGCUCCAUCUUUGGUUUUUAUGUGUUUUUGGGUGGCUCUUCGAUUUCCUGGAAGUCCAAGAAACAACCUACUAUUGCUCUUUCUUCAGCUGAAGCUGAAUAUCGAGCUCUUCGAAAAAUUGUAGCUAAAAUUUCCUGGCUUGUUCGCUUACUUGGUGAUUUUAGUUUGGGUAAUAUUUGUCCUAUAGAUGUGUUUUGCGAUAAUCAGGCUGCUUUUCGUGUAGCCAAGAAUCCCGUGUUUCAUGAACGUACGAAGCACAUAGAGGUAGACUGCCAUUUUGUUCGGGUGGCUCUUACUGCUGGGCUGAUUUCUUUGCAAUAUGUUCCCACUGCUCUACAACUGGCUGAUAUUCUUAUGAAGCCCUUGACUGGUGUUCAACACAACAACUUGCUUUCCAAGCUGGGACUGGUUUCCAUCUCGCCGGGGGAUAUUAGAAAUAAUAUAGUUGGGCUUCAGCCUCCUUAGCCUAUUGUUUAUUACAUAGUGGGCCUGAUCUUUAAUGUUUGUAUCCGGUCCAUUUCCUUUAUCAAGUGUUAAGUAUAUGUAUGUGUGUAUUGAAGUAGUUGGACUGUUUUUUGACUCAUUUUCAUGUAAUUAAAACUCAUCUUCUUCUCUCCUCUCUAGAACCUUCUCAUAAAUCUGGGUUUACAUUCAUGGUAUUUGAGAGCUUUCAGCUUCAUUCCAUGUUUUCACCCCCCACCCCCCAACCAAAAAAAAAAGUUAUUUGAGCUAAACUGGAUUAGGUUGAAUGGACUAAAAUGUGGGUCAUAACAACAUACAGUCAAUUCUUAUUAAGUUUUAAUUGCUCUAUUUAGUCUUUUAUAAAGUUUAAAUGCUUAAUAAAUUCUUUUUUUUCCUUCACUAUUAAUAUUUAUAAUAUAUCAAAUAAUUAUUUUUUAAAAUAUUUUGACAAUAUUUUUCAUAAACCAAUUUUGGUUACAUCUGUUCAAUUCUUAAUAGGCUGAAAUAGGUUGAACUAAAGAAUGAGUGUAUCAAUAACCCAUCCAAACUUAAAUGGUUUGACGGAUUGGAUUGGAUUGGAUUUUGCCGCCUCUAGUUACUUAUGAAAGCAAAUAAGGAAUGGGCUCUUCACAACUUAAAUCAAAAGUUCAUUCAGGCAUUUUACCAAUGCCGAACAGUAUACACAUCUAGUCACAACAAUCUCAUCUCUAUAUAUACUAAUUAAUACAUAUUCCGUAAAAAGUCUUAAUCAGUAAUAUGAUGUAUAACUGCUACAUUUUUAAAAAGAAUGUGUUCAUGAUUUUUAUCACUACUCUUUUCACUUACUAUUCAACAAUGUUUAUCAUCAUACCUAGAUCAGUACCACCAUUACUAUCAAUCAUCUCUAUCUAUCUCUCUCUCUAUAUAUAUAUGUCAUUAGCUUCUUAAAUUACCCUCAAACUUUCAAUUUGUUUUUGUUUUUGCAUUGGCACGGAGUUUAAGAAAUUUAAAAAAAGACUUUUAAAUUUGCACAGAGGGUGUGGCCUAGUGGUAAAUGAAGUGGUUGGGAGUCAAGAGACCAGGUUCAAAUAUCAAUGGAGAAAAAAUACUUGGUGAUUUUUUUUCAUUUGUCAUAGCAUUGGUGGACAAAGCUAAUUAAUGUUGGUGUAUAUGCAUUUUAUUAUUAAAUUAAUAUAUUAAGUGAAUAUGUUAAUAGUUAUAAAUUGUGUAUUAUGAGUAUUAUUACUUACAUAUGUUAGUGGAAGAAUGUGGUCAUAAGUUUUCUUGAAACUCCUAUAACCACUAAGCUUUAUUGCCCAUUAUUCAUCCCUUUAUGUCUUAUAACUCUUGUAACAUAUGUAACCUCAAAGAUAUUCAUCUACCUGCAUUACUACCCCUCAUUUAUCCUAUUCAAUACAUUUACUACCCCUCAUUCAUCCUAUUCAAUACAUGGAAGAAUUCAUCACCUAUAAAUAGUUGUGUUUCUUCCUUUGAUGUGUAGAAGAAAAAAAUGUGAAGUGAAAGAGAGACUUGAGACAAAGAAAAUAUUUUAAGUCUUUAACUAUAUUCACUAUACAAAGAGAGUAAAUAUAUGUUGAAGGAAAGUGUUCUUAUGGUGGAGUUUUGGACUCUUCAACUAAUCCGGGGUUGUUUGAGUUAUACAUCGUUGAUGGGCUGUUGUAUCCUGGAGGGGACAAGUCACGAGAUAUACUGUUGGAUCGGUGUAGAUUAUGCCGCAGUGGACUUGAAUCUCCUUAAAGAAAGUGAGAUAUUCGCGCCUCAGCCAAGAAGAAGAUUAUUUUAUUUUCUUUACUUUUGUUCAUUUUAUUUUCAACUGUAAUGAUUAUUGUAAUUGUGGUAUAUUACACCAAUAAUUUUAAGGAGAUUCAUGUUUUGUUACAGCUUAAAAAAAUGCGGAUAUCAAAAUGGAGAUCUCAACAUCUCAACAUCAAUAGUCUCUUCAAGAGAUGAAAGGGAAGAGAUGAAGAGUAAAACAUUUU
rnacentral:lncRNA from 1 species